AGUCCCACCCAGUCCCAUGAACUCCUCUGAAAGCCAUGGGCCAUUGAGAGUUUAACUGUAGCAUCAGAGAACUUGGUCCAUUCCUUCUCCACUUCCAGCGUCACUAAUGGUAAGUUCACCUUAAAGGGAAACUGAGCAGGACAGAGGAAGAUGGAACAGAAUCCUAGACACAACUGUAGGUACCCACUCGUGAUCCAGCACACCCACAGCUGUGCCGCCCUCAAACUGCUGCUGCUGCAGGAUGCUUUCAAAGUCCUCCAUCCGCUGCUCCAGAUUACGCAUGUGAGCCGGCAGGUGGCAGUUGAGGAAGCACACAGGGUGCCCGAAAACCAUCAUGCGUGCACUUACGCCCCCUUUAUUCCCCUGAGACAAACAUAUAGAGGCAGAGGAUAAUGGGAAGACAUUAAUAAUACAGCAGCUCUGGACUCCAUAGUAGGGUGUUCUUUUAUUUUUUUGUGCCUGCCCUACUGGUGAAAGAAAAAAACAUUAUUAUAGAGAUUAUUUACUCACCCUUACUCGUUCCAUACUAUUAUGCUCUUUAUUUUUAUUUUUUUCCAUGGAAUCCAAUGGAACAUUUUAAAUUUUUAAUCUUCAUGCAGCUAUUUUCCAUACAGUAAUAGUUUAUAGCAACCACAGCUGUCAAACUCCAAUAAAGAACAAACAUUCAAUUGA